AAAAAUUUACCACAGUAUAACACCAAAUGUAUUAGAAAAUCCAUAUGUUGUAAAGUGUUGUAUUAUUACUAUCUUCCACUAUCUGUCCUACUCACUCCAUCCUUCUGAGGCUUGGCAACACCCAUGCCUCACACCUUGACAAACUUUUUUGGGAGAAUGUCAAAUUAAAUAUGAU